rnacentral:rRNA from 1 species
UACGAAGGGGACUAGCGUUGUUCGGAAUUACUGGGCGUAAAGCGCACGUAGGCGGAUUUGUAAGUCAGGGGUGAAAUCCCGGGGCUCAACCUCGGAACUGCCUUUGAUACUGCAAAUCUCGGGUCCGAUAGAGGUGGGUGGAAUUCCUAGUGUAGAGGUGAAAUUCGUAGAUAUUAGGAAGAACACCGGUGGCGAAGGCGGCCCACUGGAUCGGUACUGACGCUGAGGUGCGAAAGCGUGGGGAGCAAACAGG